rnacentral:rRNA from 1 species
UACGGGGGGAGCAAGCGUUGCUCGGAUUUACUGGGCGUAAAGGGCGCGUAGGCGGCCACCGCAAGUCGGGUUGUGAAAUCUCCGGGCUUAACCCGGAAAGGUCAAUCGAUACUGCGGGGCUAGAGUGCAGAAGGGGCAACUGGAAUUCCUGGUGUAGCGGUGAAAUGCGCAGAUAUCAGGAAGAACACCGAUGGCGAAGGCAGUUCUCUGGGACGGUACUGACGCUGAGACGCGAAAGCGUGGGGAGCGAACAGG